rnacentral:lncRNA from 1 species
GGUGAUUAUAGAACAGACUUCAUCCCAUAUUUUCGUUUUAUCACAUUAAGCAGCUGAGACUGAGUCAACAAAAAGGUUUUUGAAUAUGUUUCUAUGAUUCGCACGAAGUUUUCCAAGGCCCGCCUUCAAACGUAUGGUAUCAUUUCCAGGCUCAGAAUUUCCACCCUAAGAUGUACCGGGGCUCAGCACUGUAACGUGUACAGCUUGGGACAGACAGACUUAGAAAUACUUGUCCUCUGGAGUGGACAAAAAUGAAUGGCUGCAUCUCAACCCUAAGGAACCAGAUUUUACCAAACCACUGCAAAUUAUUUAUUCUAAUCAGAGCCAAACUGUCUCUUGGAGGCCAAUGCUGGAAUCAUACUAAAACAGCAAUUUGUAAAGUGGCCUUUGACCACAUGGUCAUCCUGAAGAUGUGCAUCUGAAUUGAACAUCUGGAAGCAUCAGUGCUCAUCAUCAAUGCAAAGCUGUACAGCUGUGGCACCGUGGCGUCACCACCAUCACUCCAGGGCCUGGUCUUUGACAGACAAACACAGUCGCAGCCCCCGGGAAGAACGCUGCUGCCGAGGCACAACCAGUGACAACGCUCUCCAAGGACACACGAUGGAAGAAGGCAAUGAAUGGGAAACCCUUCUCCGUACCCUCCACCUACCAUGA